rnacentral:rRNA from 1 species
GCCUACGGGAGGCAGCAGUGAGGAAUAUUGGUCAAUGGUCGGGAGACUGAACCAGCCAAGCCGCGUGAGGGAGGAAGGUACAGAGUAUCGUAAACCUCUUUUGUCAGGGAACAAAGGCGGGGACGUGUCCCCGGAUGAGUGUACCUGAAGAAAAAGCAUCGGCUAACUCCGUGCCAGCAGCCGCGGUAAUACGGAGGAUGCGAGCGUUAUCCGGAUUUAUUGGGUUUAAAGGGUGCGCAGGCGGUCUGUUAAGUCAGCGGUCAAAGCCCGGGGCUCCACCCCGGCCCGCCGUUGAAACUGGCAGG